GGGGAUUUAGCUCAGCGGCAUAAGCGCCUGCCUUGCAAGCAGGCAGUCGUGAGUUCAAUUCCCA
rfam:Cavia porcellus supercont2_72 genomic scaffold, whole genome shotgun sequence.